AAACUGUGCACAUUAAAAAUAUAUAUUAAGGGUGGCCCAAAAGUGGGUUUACAGUUAUUCAACUAUCUCUUUUCGCAUUCCUAUAUUAACAAUUUAGAUCUUUAUUAUAAAAAAGAUAUGAAACCAUUAUUCUAUGCCAAUUUAGUUAUUUGUAAGAUAGAAAUUUAUGUGCA